rnacentral:tRNA from 4 species
UUCACCUAUGAUGAAACGGUAUCAUGACUGGCUGUUAACCAGUUCUUGUAGGUUCAAGUCCUGCUAGGUGAGU